GUACUCGCUUUGGCAGCACAUAUACUAAAAUUGGAACGAAACAGAGAUGAUUAGCAUGGCCCCUGCACAAGGAUGACACGCAAACUCGUGAAGCGUUCCAUAUUAAA
rnacentral:snRNA from 1 species